rnacentral:misc_RNA from 1 species
UACGGAGGGUGCAAGCAUUGAUCGGAAUUACUGGGCGUAAAGGGCGCGUAGGCGGUUCAAUAAGUCAGAUGUGAAAUUCCGGGGCUCAACCCCGGAACUGCAUUUGAAACUGUCGAACUAGAGUUCAGUUAGGGUAAACGGAAUUCCACGUGUAGCGGUGAAAUGCGUAGAUAUGUGGAAGAACACCGGUGGUGAAGACGGUUUACUGGGCUGAGACUGACGCUGAGGCGCGAAAGCAUGGGGAGCAAACAGG